rnacentral:rRNA from 1 species
CCUACGGGAGGCAGCAGUGAGGAAUAUUGGACAAUGGGCGGGAGCCUGAUCCAGCCAAGUCGCGUGAGGGAAGAAGGUACUGAGUAUUGUAAACCUCUUUUGCCAGGGGACAAAGGCGGCCACGGGUGGCCGUAAGAGGGUACCUGGAGAACAAGCAUCGGCUAACUCCGUGCCAGCAGCCGCGGUAAUACGGAGGAUGCGAGCGUUAUCCGGAUUUAUUGGGUUAAGGGGGUGCGUAGGCGGUCCGGAAAGUCAGCGGGAAAAGCCCGGGGCUAAACCGCGGAGAGCCGUUGAAACUGUCGGGCUAGAGACGGCGAGAGGUACGCGGAAUGCGCGGUGUAGCGGUGAAAUGCGUAGAUAUCGCGCAGAACUCCGAUGGCGAAGGCAGCGUACCGGCGCCUGACUGACGCUGAGGCUCGAAAGCGUGGGGAUCGAACAGGAUUAGAUACCCCAGUAGUC